rnacentral:misc_RNA from 1 species
AUUUUCCUUCAGAACUCCAAAACCUAAACCUCUACGGGACCGUCUAGAACUCGAGCCGAAGCUCCUCCUUCUCCUUGUUGAGGAAGUGGAGAACGUAGGGGACGACGCGGAUGGUGGCGACGAACGCCACCAUCGUGUACACCUCCUUCUUCAGCUUCUUGAGAGCAGUGGACUUCUCAGGCUUCCGCGGCAUCGCCCCAAGAAACAUGAUCGCUGCGCUUCUCGUGCUCCGCCGGAAAAGGGGGGUUUUCUUCUUCGACGCCGG